UACGAAGGGUGCAAGCGUUACUCGGAAUUACUGGGCGUAAAGCGUGCGUAGGUGGUUGUUUAAGUCUGUUGUGAAAGCCCUGGGCUCAACCUGGGAACUGCAGUGGAAACUGGACAACUAGAGUGUGGUAGAGGGUAGCGGAAUUCCCGGUGUAGCAGUGAAAUGCGUAGAGAUCGGGAGGAACAUCCAUGGCGAAGGCAGCUACCUGGACCAACGCUGACACUGAGGCACGAAAGCGUGGGGAGCAAACAGG
rnacentral:rRNA from 1 species